GGGGUUGUGGCUCAGAGGUAGAGCACUCGCCUAGCAUGUGGGAGGCACUGGGUUUGAACCUCAGCACCA
rnacentral:tRNA from 1 species